UAGAGACGAGGUGAAUCAUCGAAUCUUUGAACGCAUCUUGCACUUUUUAGGUCUCCUAGAAAGUAUACUUGUUUGAGUAUCAUUAACAUUUACUCCAAGCUUCGGCUUGGGAAUUGAGAUAUUAAGUAGCGCAAGCUGCCUAUGUCUUUUAAGUGAUACGUAGAGUGUUGUAACGUAACUUUGUUGCGUCUGCAAGCCUCCUCCCAUACCAAAUGUGAGAUAAACAUCGCACAGAGUAGUUGAGAAGGUCAAGCUUUACUACGCCUAGCGGUAUGUCUAACCAACAUGCAGCAACCCCAAUUGAAUCAGUGAUCUCAAAUCAAGUAAGACUACCCGCUGAACUUAAGCAUAUCAAUAAGCGGAGG
rnacentral:rRNA from 1 species